AGAGUUUGAUUAUGGCUCAGGAUGAACGCUAGCUACAGGCUUAACACAUGCAAGUCGAGGGGCAGCAUUGGAGUAGCAAUACUUCAGAUGGCGACCGGCGCACGGGUGAGUAACACGUAUCCAACCUGCCGCUUACUCGGGGAUAGCCUUUCGAAAGAAAGAUUAAUACCCGAUGGUAUAAAGAGUUCGCAUGUUCUCUUUAUUAAAGAAUUUCGGUAAGCGAUGGGGAUGCGUUCCAUUAGAUAGUUGGCGGGGUAACGGCCCACCAAGUCUACGAUGGAUAGGGGUUCUGAGAGGAAGGUCCCCCACAUUGGAACUGAGACACGGUCUAAACUCCUACGGGAGGCAGCAGUGAGGAAUAUUGGUCAAUGGACGAGAGUCUGAACCAGCCAAGUAGCGUGAAGGAUGACUGCCCUAUGGGUUGUAAACUUCUUUUAUAAGGGAAUAAAGUGAGGGACGUGUCCCUUUUUGUAUGUACCUUAUGAAUAAGGAUCGGCUAACUCCGUGCCAGCAGCUGC
rnacentral:rRNA from 1 species